AGUACUGACGCUGAGAUGCGAAAGCGUGGGGAGCAAACAGGAUUAGAUACCUGGUAGUCACGCUGUAAACGAUGUCGAUUUGGAGUUUGUUGCCUAGAGUGAUGGGCUCCGAAGCUAACGCGAUAAAUCGACCGCUGGGGAGUACGGCCGCAAGGUUAAAACUCAAAUGAAUUGACGGGGGCCCGCACAAGCGGUGGAGCAUGUGGUUUAAUUCGAUGCAACGCGAAGAACCCUACCUGGUCUUGACAUCCAUAGAAUUCUGCAGAGAUGUGGGAGUGCCUUCGGGAACUAUGAGACAGGUGCUGCAUGGCUGUCGUCAGCUCGUGUUGUGAAAUGUUGGGUUAAGUCCCGCAACGAGCGCAACCCUUAUUCUUUGUUGCCAGCGAUUUGGUCGGGAACUCAAAGGAGACUGCCGUUGAUAAAGCGGAGGAAGGUGGGGACGACGUCAAGUCAUCAUGGCCCUUACGACCAGGGCUACACACGUGCUACAAUGGCGUAUACAAAGGGAAGCGAAGGUGCGAGCUGGAGCGGAUCUCAUAAAGUACGUCUAAGUUCGGAUUGGAGUCUGCAACUCGACUCCAUGAAGUCGGAAUCGCUAGUAAUCGUAGAUCAGAAUGCUACGGUGAAUACGUUCCCGGGCCUUGUACACACCGCCCGUCACACCAUGGGAGUGGGUUGCACCAGAAGUAGAUAGCUUAACCGCGAGGGGGGCGUUUACCACGGUGUGAUUCAUGACUGGGGUGAAGUCGUAACAAGGUAACCA
rnacentral:rRNA from 1 species